rnacentral:rRNA from 1 species
CCAAUAGCGUAUAUUAAAGUUGUUGCAGUUAAAAAGCUCGUAGUUGAAUUUCGGGGCCAGUAGGUUGGUCGUGCCACUGGUAUGCACUGGCCUUACUGGUCCCUCCUUCUUGUAGAACCGUGAUGGCAUUAAUUUGUUGUUGCGGGGAAACAGGACUGUUACUUUGAAAAAAUUAGAGUGCUUAAAGCAGGCUCGCGCUUGAAUACAUUAGCAUGGAAUAACGAAAUAGGACGAUCGAAUCUAUUUUGUUGGUUUCUAGGAUCGACGUAAUGAUUAAUAGGGAUAGUUGGGGGCAUUAGUAUUCAAUUGUCAGAGGUGAAAUUCUUGGAUUUAUUGAAGACUAACUACUGCGAAAGCAUUUGCCAAGGAUGUUUUCAUUAAUCAAGAACGAAAGUUAGGGGAUCGAAGACGAUCAGAUACCGUCGUAGUCUUAACCAUAAACUAUGCCGACUAGGGAUCGGAUGAAGUUAAUUUUUUAAUGACUCAUUCGGCGCCUUACG